rnacentral:rRNA from 1 species
ACUCAAAUGAAUUGACGGGGACCCGCACAAGCGGUGGAGCAUGUUGUUUAAUUCGAAGCAACGCGAAGAACCUUACCUACCCUUGACAUACCAAGUAUGAUUUCCAGAGAUGGAUUUCUUCAGUUCGGCUGGCUUGGAUACAGGUGCUGCAUGGCUGUCGUCAGCUCGUGUCGUGAGAUGUUGGGUUAAGUCCCGCAACGAGCGCAACCCUUGUCGUCUGUUGCCAUCAGGUAAUGCUGGGCACUCUGACGAGACCGCCGGUGACAAGCCGGAGGAAGGUGGGGACGACGUCAAGUCAUCAUGGCCCUUACGGGUAGGGCUACAAACGUGCUACAAUGGCGGUGACAGUGGGCACCGAGGCCGCGAGGCCAAGGAAAUCCCAAAAAGCCGUCUCAGUUCGGAUUGUUCUCUGCAACUCGAGAGCAUGAAGCUGGAAUCGCUAGUAAUCGUGGAUCAGCAUGCCACGGUGAAUACGUUCCCGGGUCUUGCACACACCGCCCGU